AACGAACGCUGGCGGCAUGCCUAACACAUGCAAGUCGAACGAGACCUUCGGGUCUAGUGGCGCACGGGUGCGUAACGCGUGGGAACCUGCCCUUAGGUUCGGAAUAACUCCCCGAAAGGGGUGCUAAUACCGGAUAAUGUCUUCGGACCAAAGAUUUAUCGCCUUUGGAUGGGCCCGCGUUGGAUUAGCUAGUUGGUAGGGUAAAAGCCUACCAAGGCGACGAUCCAUAGCUGGUCUGAGAGGAUGAUCAGCCACACUGGGACUGAGACACGGCCCAGACUCCGAGGGGAGGAAGGGGUGGGAAUUAUUGGAAAGUGGGAAAAGGCUAGCUCCAGAAAUGCCGCGUGAGUGAAAAGGGCUUGGGGUUUGAAAACUUCUUUUCCCCGGUAUAAAAAAGAGAGUCCGGGAAAAAAAGCCCCGGACUAACCCGGUG
rnacentral:rRNA from 1 species